CUGGUGGCUGUAACGGCUGGCCCUUGUCCUUGCCACGCAGACGAAUCCCUGUGGAGAGGCGCGUGUUAGAGGGUGUGAGCUCUUGAAACUUAGUAGUAGUGAGAAAGUAAUAUUGAAGAGGGGGUUCCAAGUUAGUUUUGAGUUUAAGUAUCCCUGUGGAGAGGCACGUGUUAGAGGGCAUGAGCUCUUGAAAGUUAGAACUAGUAAGAAAGUAACAUUGAAGAGGGGGUUCCAAGUUAGUUUCGAGUUUAAGUAUCCCUGUGGAGAGGCAUGUGUUAGAGGGCAUGAGCUCUUGAAAGUUAGAAGUAGUGAGAAAGUAACAUUGAAGAGGGGGUUCCAAGGUAGUUUUGAGUUUAAGUAUCCCUGUGGAGAGACUCGUGUUAGAAAGGAAAAGUUAUUGAAAAAACUCAGGAAGGAAAGACAAAGAGUUCAGACGACUAAAACACAAGUGCAAAAUCAGUGAAAAAAAAAAAUAGUCAAGUGAAAACUGAAGAAGAAAAUAAGCGUUGAAGCAUGAGAACAUUGAGUGAACAGAAAAUCCGGGAGCCAUUGCAAAGGCAUAUCCUGGGACCACAUCUGAUUCGAGAGAGCAUGAUCUCUGAAUAGCACCACACGGGUCUAGCUUGAACGUCAGUAAUAGUAGUAAAAUAGUAACAUUGAAUAGGAGGUACCAGGCUAGUUUUGAGUUUACAUAUCCCUGUGGAGAGACUGAAGUUAAAGGGCAUGUUCUCUGAGUAGCAUCACAUGGGUCUAGCUUGAAAAUUGGCAGUAGUAGGAUAGUUAAUAUUGAAUAGGAGGUACCAGGCUAGUUUUGAGUUUACGUACCCCUGCGGAGAGACUGAAGUUAGAGGGCAUGUUCUCUGAGUAACACCACACAUUUUUAGCUUGAAAGUUGAUAGAAGUAGAAAGAGAAUAAUAUUGAAUAGGGGGUACCAAUCUAGUUUAGAGUUUAGCUUGGAGGUCUUGGGGCCAAACAAAUACAUACAUACAUAGACCAACGUGCUAGAAGAUGUAUUUACCUAUUUGUAGUAUACAGGGCCUGAGCUCAAAUGUUGUCUUUGUUUGUGUGGGAAGGAAUUUAUUGUAGGGAUUUUUGGGUGUUUCUAUUUCUAAAUAUAAGUGUAGUGAGCACAUAUGAUUAAACAUCUUUAUGAUAUUACUAUUAUUAUGAGGUUAAACUACAGAAGAGGGAGAUCGGACUUAACCUGGUAGCAGUGACGAGCCAAAUUUGUCCCAUGAUAUAAACUGCCCAAAAUAGAUGACGCAUAAACUGAUCACAAAUGCUUUGAUAUAUAUUAUGAAAUGGUUUGUGUGAGUGAUGAUUUUUCCUUAUUUUUCUCGCUUAGAGGGACCAUUAAGAAACAUGGUCCCCGCUGCUACCAGGUUAAGCCACACACACACAAUGGUUAUAAGCUUACCUACGCCACUGUAAACAUAUCUAUCAACUUUUAACAUAUGUCCUGGAAGAGCGAGCGUUCAGUCUAUCUCGUGUGAAUGUUUUGUAUAUAAACUCCACCAAUAAACACUUAAGCAGCGGUUCAGAGCACA